rnacentral:tRNA from 1 species
GGCCGGUUGGCUCAAUGGUAGAGCGUGCGCCUCCUAAGCGCAAGGCUGUGAGUUCGAGUCUCAUGCUGGUCG